UACGGGGGGGGCAAGCGUUGUUCGGAAUUACUGGGCGUAAAGGGCUCGUAGGCGGCUCCUUAAGUCAGACGUGAAAUCCCUCGGCUUAACCGGGGAACUGCGUCUGAGACUGAAGAGCUUGAAUCCGGGAGAGGGAUGCGGAAUUCCAGGUGUAGCGGUGAAAUGCGUAGAUAUCUGGAAGAACACCGGUGGCGCAAGCGGCUUGCUGGGCUGUAACUGACGCUGAGGAACGAAAGCUAGGGUAGCGAAUGGG
rnacentral:rRNA from 1 species